rnacentral:rRNA from 1 species
AUUGAACGCUGGCGGCAGGCCUAACACAUGCAAGUCGAACGAGUGGCGGACGGGUGAGUAAUGUCUGGGCAACUGCCUGAUGGAGGGGGAUAACUACUGGAAACGGUAGCUAAUACCGCAUACCAUCAGAUGUGCCCAGAUGGGAUUAGCUGGUGGGUGGGGUAACGGCUCACCAAGGCGACGAUCCCUAGCUGGUCUGAGAGGUGGACCAGCCACACUGGAACUGAGACAGGGCCCAGACUCCUAGGGGAGGCAGCAGUGGGGAAUAUUGCACAAUGGGGGCAAGCCGGAGGCAGCCAUGCGGCGUGUAGGAAGAAGGCCUUCGGGUGGUAAAGUACGUUCAGCGGGGAGGCGUUACCCGCAGAAGAAGCACCGGCUAACUCCGUGCCAGCAGCCGCGGUAAUUC